GGCACCAUACUUUAAAUCAAAAGAUUCGAUUUGCAUUCGACCAAUGAGGAGGCUUUCUCUGGCGCCG
rnacentral:tRNA from 1 species